UCCUUCUGAAAAGGUGUGUCUGUGGUUCCAUGUCCUUAGACAGGUAAGAAUUGGAGGCAAAGAAAUGUGGAUUUGGAGAAGUUUGGGGCCAUCUUGCUCCUAGCAGACUCCAGUGCCCCAAUCCCACACUG